AUUGUUUGUUCUUAAUGUUAUUGGACAUAAAAUAGUAUUUAUUAUGUGACUCGGAGUAAAUUAUUGGAAUAUAUGAUUUGACAGCGGAUUCAAUACAGCCGACUACAAUAGAUUGAUCUUAGUAGUUCCUACGUAACGACCCAUUAAGAAAUGGAUAUGAGAUCUGCUGUGUUCCUAAUUCUCGUGAUCGCUUUCGUGAAAAUCGUCCAGGGCGGAGCUGCAGCCGUACACGGAUUAGACCAAACAGUCCAGAGCCGUGAACAGGAGAUGGCAGAAAAUUUAAUAAAAUUUUUGUGUUAAUAAA